UUUCAAGGCCUGAAGUCAAAGACACCUGCCCAGGGAGUGUCCCUCAGUCCCCCUGGCUGGAAUUCAUUCCUGUCUGGACUGUUAUCCUUCCCCGCCUUGAUUUAAGAUGAUUCCACUUUCUGGAUUGAAAACUGGGCCUGGCACUGGCCAUGGUACAACUGCACUGUGGAGAGCAGGUGCACAGAGUAAGAGAGCCGCCCGCCCAGGACUUCCAGGGCACAGGAUGACCGCAGGCCUGGGUCUCACUGCCGGUGGGCCAUGAGCACAUCACCCUGUCCUCCCGCAAUCCCAGAGGGGGCUGCCGGUGACAGCCAGCGCGAGACACGGGUGGAUAGAGGGGCUGUCUGGUUUACAGUCUGAAUGGUUGUUUCUAAUGCCCCUUAACAGGGGCAUUUCUUGGGCGGGUCUUGUAGGGCUCAUCUUGCCAUCUCUCAGCACUCCCGUGGGCCUCGCCGUCACAGAGCUCAGAAGACAUCCCCGCAGUGGGGUGGAAUCUCUUCAGCAGGCAGAAGGGGCGAAGGCUGUGAGGAGGCACCAGGUGGGGGAGGCCAGGCGUCCUGAGAAUGUGGAGGGUCAUCUACAAAGAACGUCCACCCAAUUGCCCCUCUGCUCCAGAGGCUGGUCCUUUUAUCGGGAGGUAUGUGGUGGGAUGGGGUGUUGCCUUCCCCUUUCCUGGAGUCUGAGCCCAGGGUGACCCACUCUGACCAGCGCAAUGCAGAGGAGACUCACUGGUGCAUGAGGCUUUGGCUGCCACCGUCAUUCCUAGACCCAGCUGACAUGCUAUAAGGCAGCCCAGACUAGUUUCCUGGAAGCAGAGGUCACAUGGAGAAUCCUAGAGAGUGAG
rnacentral:lncRNA from 1 species